rnacentral:lncRNA from 1 species
UACUUUCAAACUUUAUUAAAAUAUUAAUGUAAAUAGAAUGCACAUCAUAUAGGUAACAUCACAAUGGAAAAAGGAAAAGGGAGAACUAUAAAUUUUUAAAUUACAAAGUAAAAUGACUACAAAACAUGAAAAUGGCAUAAAUUAGUCAUUCAAAAUAGAAUCUUGAAUAAAAAUAAAAAUAUGAAAUAUUUAAAAUAGACAAGUAGAAAGGUUUUUAAAUGUAACCUAGAAAUUAAUUUAGAAAAUGAUGAUUUCUCUACAGUUUGGCCUCCAAAUAGAACCACAGCAGGCCUUUUUGUUUUUAACUUCAAAAUGAGACAGUAUGAUUGUACAGGUCAUCUUGUUUCCAAAAUAUAUUGCAUAGAGAAAAAACAUUAAGGAUAGUUAUAGUUUAUUAGGUAUGUCUCCACUUUUUCAUCAGUUAGAUAAACACAUACAAACAUAUUUAUGUACAUAUUUGUAUAUAAAGAGAAAAAACUCCAAAAGGCUUUACACUAAACUGUUAGCUAUGAAUUAUAUAUACCUGUUAAAAAGAUAUGAGUGUUAGGAGUUCCCGUCGUGGUGCAAUGGAAAAGAAUCAUGAAUAUGAGGGUUCGAUCCCUGGUCUCCCCCAGUGGGCUAAGGAUCCCAUGUUGCCAUAAGCUGUGGUGUAGGUCGAAGACGCAGCUCAGAUCUGAUGUUGCUGUGCUGUUGGCCAGCAGCUGUAGCUCUGAUUCGACCCCUUGCUGGGAACCUCCAUGUGCCAUGAGCACAGCCAUAAAAAGCAAACAAACAAAAUAUUACGAAUGUUAAAAUAAUAGUUAAAAUAACCAAAACUACUAACUAGGUCUAAAAAAAAAAUAACAUUAAAUAAAGUGGGAUAUAAAACAUAAUGAACAUACAUUUCUGCAUUAAGCAAUAUGUAUAGGAUAACAAAUUAAACAUUUUAGGGAGGUGGAAUUAGGGUUGGAUUAUUUUUAGAAAUUAAAAAUUUAUCACUGCUUGUUAAUUUCUUGGGAUAGCACCUUGUAAUUCAAGUUUUUCCACUUCAAAUCUUAAUUCACAUUUUAUUUUUUCAAAAGACAGCUUGUUUUCACACUGCUAUUGUUAUCAUGCUCUUUACAUAGUAUAUUCUUAUGUGUCCAUGGGUCUGAUUCUACACUUUCUCUUCUGUUCUAUUAAUCUAACUAUUUCUUCUGAUUUUGAUGCCUUAAUAUAUAAUUUUUUUGCACAGAAAUCCAUCCUUUGUUACUUUUUUCCCCACAAAACUUUCCUGGACAUUUCACACAUUUAUUAUUGCAGUUGAUCUGUACAUCUUUUUGUUAAAUGAAAAAUCAAGAACAAUGCUUUUGAAUAAUUAUUGCAUAUGGAGAGUAAAUUGACAGGAUAAUUUGAGGGAAUUCAACAUGUAAUUUAACAAUUGAAUGAAGUGACUCUCACAUUACAAGAAUAGUACAGUUCCAUUGACUCAUUCCCAGCUAACAGGUAAAAGUUUAUAUCUAUUACAAUCCAUAUAAGAAAAAUAACAAUAUCCUGUUUCUUUUGUUUUAACUUUGAAGGAUGAAAUGGAAGACAAAGUCAUAAUGAGAAAAGUGUUCCUAAUUUGAUUAUAAAAUUUAAAAAUGCUUUAUUAAUUUUGACUUUUAGUUAAAUCAACAUGAAGUUUUCCACUUAUCUUUCAGAAGUAUCAAAGCAAGAAACUCAGGGUACUCAUGUGAUACUGAAUGGUAGAAACAGCUGAAUCUAAAUAGGCUAAUCUUAACUUAGGAGCAAAGAAUAAUUCUGACAUCCAACAGAGACAUCAUUUUAAAUUAUUUGGUCUCUUAUACCUCAGUGAGACUAUUAGGGCUUUUUGCCCCUUGAGCCUCUAUACAGUGUGCUGUCAGAAAUGGUAAUUAAGCCUAUCACUGAAAAAAGGGGGAAUAGUAAGGGAAAAAAUUAUCAUUUCUUAAAUGUCUGUUGUGGGAUAAAUACUUUGUAUUUACCUUUUUUUGUGGGGGAGAAUACAGUACAAAAGUUGAACUGGAAGGCAACUAAAGUUCACUUUCCUCCCUUCAGUUAACUCAUUUAAAUACAUAAUUCAGAACUUUAGGUUAAAUGAUUUGUUAGUUUCUAUAAAAUUUCAACUUUUCUGUAUAACUAAAAUUGUUACUGUUGAUCAAUUUGAAUAAAUCCCAUUUUAGUUCUAAUUUUGUAAGUACAAAAGUUCCAUAAACUAAGUCUGAAAAGUUCAGUUGAUAAUACCUACUCCUAUAUUUAGUGCACAUAUUUAGCCCUGAAAGCAUUUUAUAACCAUAUGCAUCUCUAGAACUUCAUCAUUUUUUAAGCUUGGGACUAAUGCUUGAGCAGAAAUGAUCUUAUAACAAAUCUGAUGCCCUACUUAUACAUCUGGGAGAUAUCAUAAUGCUUUCAACUGUUAUUUUGGAAUAAUUUUCCUUUUCUUUUCAAUUACUUUUUAUGAAUUUCUCUGUAUUUCUAUAAAAAAAUUGCUUCUUUUGUUAUGUGGGGAUUAUAUCUACUUUGACAUACAAAAUACAUUUUUCUGAGUGUCGCUUAAGUGUCCUAAAAUUCAUUUUUCUUGAUCUCAAUGGCAAAUAAGGGAUUAAGGAGUUCCCAUAGUGGCUCAGUGGUUAAUAAACCCGACUAGGAACCAUGAGGGUGUGGGUUCGAUCCCUGGCCUUGCUCAGUGGGUUAAGGAUCCAGUGUUGCCAUGAGCUGUGGUGUAGGUUGUAGACGUGGCUCGGAUCUGGCAUUGCUAUGGCUGUGGUGCAGGCCAGCAGCUGUAGCUCCAAUUGGAGCCCUAGCCUGGGAACCUCCAUAUGCCGUGGGUGUGGCCCUAAAAAGACAAAAGACAAAAAAUAAAUAAAUAAAUAAAACUAAGGGAUUGGAAUAUGUUUUUCCAUACAUUUCUAACUAUUUUGAUAACUAUUUGUUAUCAUUAUAUGUUCAAUUUUCUAGGACUUGAUAUGUUCAAAGUGAGUUGAAAAUUCAGCCUUAAUCAAGUUCUAUCAAGUUUAAGUGAAUAUGUAAAAGUUUCACUUAAACAGGGUGAUGGGCCCUGGGCCUUGUGCUCUGAAGCCUCUCAUAUGCACCAAGGCAACAAAGGCUGGAUGCUCUUGUGUCACUUUUAUGUAGGCUUCCCAACUGCUAUACAGUGGACUAGUAAUAGAAGGCAGAGGAUGGGGGAAUAAGAUGCUCUGUUGCUAACUUUCUCUGAUCCUAUGUCCUACUUUCAAAAUCAGAAGGCAGAACUAGAUAAAUCUUCAUUCCUUCCAGCUUUUUAAAAACAUGUUUUUUUUGCUUUUUUUUCAAUUUGAGCAAACUAAUUUAAAAUAAAUUUCCCUGGAGUAUAAACGUUGACAGUAGAGGACACCAUAUGAGUUUUCACCAAACCCUGCAGUUCUCAUGGUAUGUGCUUGAUCCUAUAAACUUUUUGAAGUUUUUAUUUGACACUGAAGAAAAAGAAUGUUAAGGAAUUAUCCUAAAGUUAAUUAGAAUUGGAAUUACAUUUAGCUAUAGAUACAAAUUAGAUAUUUUUUCUAUAGAGCCAUGAUUCUGCUCAAGAAGGACACAGGUUCGAUCCCUGGUCUCACUCAUUGGGUUAAUGAUCCAGCAUUGCCGUGAGCUGUGGUGUAGGUCACAGACCUGGCUAAAAUCUGGUGUUGCUGUGGCUGCGGUGUAGGCCAGCAGCUACAACUCUGAUUUGACCCCUAUUCCUGGGAACCUCCACAUGCUGCAGGUGUGGCCCUAAAAAAUAAAAUAAAUAAAAUAAAAUAAAAUUUUAAAUGACAUAGUUAUGUAAAAACAAUUUUAGAAUAAAGGGCAAAGAAAUGCAAAUCUCUUUGAAAAGCAGGUCCCUUUCUAAUUAAUUUUAAUGUUAGUUGUAAUCUUCCAUGCUUCCACUGCCAAGUUUAUUGAAUGGUCUACAUUUGCAGUCUCCAUUUCAUUCACACAUAAAUACACCUGGACAUGACUUACACACCCACUACUUGCUUGCAAUAACUGCCGCCAAGCUACUAAUGAUUGUCAAACCCCACAAACACUGUUUUUAGUAUUUAACAGUCUCCUAUUUUCUCAAAGCCUUUCUCCUUACAUUGCUUAUGACACUGCCUCACUUAGCUGCUCUUCUCUUUGGUUGCUCUUUUUUUUUUUUUCUUCUGUUUUUCUAGGGCCACACCCAUGGCAUAUGGAGGUGCAGCCCUAAAAAGACCAAAGACCAAAAGAAAAAAAAAUUCAGAAAUUCAAAUCUUACUUUCUAAUAAUAUGAGGCGUGAACUUUGCUUAAAAAAGAACAAUUUUGGCAUCACAAAUUGUAGUAAUGCAAUAAGCUCAAAAUCAACUAUUUAUAAAGGAAUAUUGGAUAAAUUCACAAGUUAUAAAUUCAAACAAGUCUAAGUUGUAUGUUGGCUUAAAAAAUUUAAAAAGCUGCUGGUAAAGAAAGUAGUCCACUGGGGGAAAACUUAUUAGACUGAAAACUCUUAGUUUUCCAAAAACCAACCAACCAACCAAAACCAACCCUCAAAUAGCAAAAAGUAGGAUAAAUUACAGGGGUUUUUGGGGGGUAAAAUUUGUUUUCUUAGCAUUUAGAAAGCGGCUAGCCUCACAGACAUGAACAGAGUAUAUGAGGUAUAAAGGAAGAGUAGAGACACAACUAUACUGAUAUAACAAUUGAAACUAUGUACAUAUUAAGGAAAGAUAUAAAUUCCUAUCUGCACAAACUUCACCUUUCACCUUGAUGUUUCUUGGGUCUUUUUUGGUUAGA